GGAGAGAUGGCUGAGUGGUCGAAAGCGGCCGCCUGCUAAGCGGUUGUGGGGGUGUUAAGCUCCCACCCCGGGUUCGAAUCCCGGUCUCUCCGCCA
rnacentral:tRNA from 1 species